GAUGAACGCUGACAGCAUGCCUAACACAUGCAAGUCAACCUGAACUUCGGGGUGGGUGGCGGACGGGUGAGUAACGCGUAAAGAACUUGCCCCACAGCUAGGGAUAACUUUUGGAAACGAAUGCUAAUACCGGAUAUUAUCAUUAUAUGGCAGCGUAUAAUUAUGAAAGUUAUAUGCGCUGUGAGAGGGUUUUGCGUCCCAUUAGCUAGUUGGGGAGGUAACAGCUCACCAAGGCGAUGAUGGGUAGCCGGCCUGAGAGGGAGAGCGGCCACAAACGGAGGGAGUCAGAACCAGUACAGAUUCGUGAGGGAGGGGUGAGUGAGGAAUGAUGAAGAACCGGGAGACUGAUGAAGCAGUUCUGUGUGGAAAAUGAUGAUUGUCGGAAUGUAAAAAGGUUUCAGUAACGAAGAAGAUAAUGACGGUACCGACAGAAGAAGCGACGGCUAACUACGUG
rnacentral:rRNA from 1 species